CAUUAGGCAAGGAAAGAGAGAGUAGCCGGGAGAUAUGCUUACAGGAAGUCCUGAUAACUGAGAACAGGGCAGCUAAGGCCAGGUGAAGUUCACUCCGGAGUCUCCCUGGUGAAGAGAUGUAGUCAGGGCGCAUUGCAGCGUUACGGCGUAAAUGAGUAAUAAAUUAGGGUGGUACCGCGAAUCAGACCUUCGCCCCUUUU
rfam:Anaerovibrio sp. JC8 JC8_005, whole genome shotgun sequence.